rnacentral:rRNA from 1 species
GAUGAACGCUGGCGGCGUGCCUAAUACAUGCAAGUCGAGCGAACGGACGAGAAGCUUGCUUCCCUGAUGUUAGCGGCGGACGGGUGAGUAACACGUGGAUAACCUACCUAUAAGACUGGGAUAACUUCGGGAAACCGGAGCUAAUACCGGAUGAUAUUUUGAACCGCAUGGUUCAAAAGUGAAAGACGGUCUUGCUGUCACUUAUAGAUGGAUCCGCGCUGCAUUAGCUAGUUGGUAAGGUAACGGCUUACCAAGGCAACGAUGCAUAGCCGACCUGAGAGGGUGAUCGGCCACACUGGAACUGAGACACGGUCCAGACUCCUACGGGAGGCAGCAGUAGGGAAUCUUCCGCAAAGGGCGAAAGCCUGACGGAGCAACGCCGCGUGAGUGAUGAAGGUCUUCGGAUCGUAAAACUCUGUUAUUAGGGAAGAACAUAUGUGUAAGUAACUGUGCACAUCUUGACGGUACCUAAUCAGAAAGCCACGGCUAACUACGUG